AACUAGUUUCACGACAGACGCCAACUCUAGAACAUUUAGUGAAUGAGAAAUAAAAGCCAACCUUUGUUUAUAUUUAAUUGCAACCAUUUAAAAACAGCAGCCAGUGAUCAGAACAUUUGAAAUGUCUUAUAAUAAACUAGAAUAGUAAUAAUGACAUAUACUCCUCUAUCAUCAAAAUGAUCACGUAUUAGUAAAACAUGUCUCGAGUUUAAUAUCCAAUUAGAUAAAAUGGCAGGCGAAUAUCUUUUUUGUUUAAAUCUCUUCCUUCGCACUUUAAUAUGUUUUAAAAACUAGAUGACUAGGGGAGUUAAUGAAAAUCGGUUUUAAUCUCUGUAAUUUAACAGCAUUAACUCCCUUCCAAGCUUUUAAAUCGUCCAGCAAUUAUGAUGCCUAUGACACUUGUCACAUCCGACAAUGGUCGUAUUUCAUGACACUUGUAAGCAACGAUAAUUACUUAAUAGUUUCUAGGAUUAUCAUCGCUAUAAAUUGAACAGAUUAUGGUACGUCCUCUGCAGGGCAAACUCCUUGUUGUACAUGCCGGCAAAGUUGAUGAUGAUGAUUGGCGUGUUGCUGAUGAUGUAUAUAACAGAGAUAAGAAGGACUUGCUGGACGACUUGCAGAUCUUUCCCGCUCAUGAGUUUACCUGCUGCUUCACGUUGAUUGGGUUUCAGUUGAUCAGAGAAUGAGUGAGGGAGAAAUAAUGUGUACAAUUAGCAAAGAGGACCAAAACCUACAUAUUUAGACAUAUCUGUGAAUGCUGAAGGAUCAACUUCCCUUGUAGGUAUCAAACAAAAUAAUAAAUGGCUAGUAAUUAACUGACUAAUUGGUUAAUUAAUUUUGUUUAUUGAUUUAUGUCUUAUUUAUGCCAAUGAAUAACUGUGCGAAAUUUUAACAUGAUCCGAGAAUGAGUGUGCCAGAAAUAACCUGUACACACUUUCUAAGAGAGAUAGUUGAUGUAAGCUUUGUAAACUGCAUUUCUCCAGACAUCAAGUGAGAGAUACUUGGGAUUGGGAACGGAGUGGUCAGUUCAGAGCACUUGAGGUCAACUAACGUUAACAAAUAAAGGAUUAUGUUUGGACUGAAAAUAAAUUUUUAAAUUCCUAAUGGCCAAGCAAACUUCUUGCAUCUAGCCUAUUUAUGAGUGGAUGUUGCGAAUGAGAUAAUCUAACACAGUCACGCCAAGCACAAACACGAAAUGAUAAAAUACUUCUCAGAAGUUUCAUUCUUUAUUCCAACGUUACCAAGAGUCUACCUUCACAGCCUAACUUUGUAACGAUUGAGGAUGUUCCUGAUGUAUCUUUCUAGCGUCUCACACGAAUAUAGGUGGCAAGACAGCUGUGGACUUUGAGCUCGGGAUCUUAUGAUAAACGAUACGGGUUCAAAUCCCUGAUGUCCGUCACCUGUCCUUUCAGCUGAAGUCUUUCCUUUUAUAGCUUCAAGGUGCAUUGGCCAGGAUGAAAAAACAAACAAACUCCAAACUGUUCCAACAAACAGACCUAUAUAUAUUUAUAAAAUAUGUAGACAUCACUGAUCUAUACACUAAUGAAGUGAAAGUAAUGACAUUAGGAAAGCUUAACAUAUUCUAUAGUUCAUUAUAUCGUCUCUUAAAGGUCCGUUAUGAGUGUACUUUCAAUAUUUGUUAACACUUUUCUAUUGUCUUUUCAUUUAAAUACAAUGGGGAUAUUAUUUGGAGAAAAAGGCGAGUGGGAAAUUAUUUUUUCUUACAUUUCAAAUCGCUUCUCUUUUGAAUUUAGUUUUAUAUGACA